AUUGAACGCUGGCGGCAGGCCUAACACAUGCAAGUCGAACGGUAACAGGAAGAAGCUUGCUUCUUUGCUGACGAGUGGCGGACGGGUGAGUAAUGUCUGGGAAACUGCCUGAUGGAGGGGGAUAACUACUGGAAACGGUAGCUAAUACCGCAUAACGUCGCAAGACCAAAGAGGGGGACCUUCGGGCCUCUUGCCAUCGGAUGUGCCCAGAUGGGAUUAGCUAGUUGGUGGGGUAACGGCUCACCAAGGCGACGAUCCCUAGCUGGUCUGAGAGGAUGACCAGCCACACUGGAACUGGGACACGGUCCAGGCUCCGACGGGAGGCAGCAGUGGGGAAUAUUGCACAAUGGGCGCAAGCCUGAUGCAGCCAUGCCGCGUGUAUGAAGAAGGCCUUCGGGUUGUAAAGUACUUUCAGCGGGGAGGAAGGGAGUAAAGUUAAUACCUUUGCUCAUUGACGUUACCCGCAGAAGAAGCACCGGCUAACUCCGUGCCAGCCGCCGCCGUAA
rnacentral:rRNA from 1 species